rnacentral:lncRNA from 1 species
AGCGCGUUUUUCGGCGAAAUCUGCCGACGGAACGCAGGUUCGGUUCGGAAUUAUUCCGACGGUGCUUCGUGAGCUAUUGUGUAGUCGCUGAGCCUGGUUGGCUGGUCACUCGCAUCAUUUCGAGAGUUCAGACAUGACGGGUGAGCGACGGUGGGUUCCGGAGUCGAAAUUGACACUUUCGGGAACCCGGAUCGAAACGAUUAUCCGACGAUAAUUAUUUCGACGUGAGGAGCUGUGGUUGCUGCCAUGAUGCACGAUUAUUGAUGUUUAGUGGCAGCGGAUGACUCGUAGCACGAGUCGGUACGUUCUGGGACAGUCGUGGGUCCCGACGGAGUCUCGGUGCGAUUUCAGGACUUCCGGCGAGUUACGGUAAUCGGUUUUGGGAAACCGAUAUCCGUGGGUUUUAGUUUGUGGGGUUGUAGAUUCAGUGUUUAUUGUUUGUAGGUUGGACACUAACCCAGUG